rnacentral:rRNA from 1 species
AACGAACGCUGGCGGCGUGGAUAAGACAUGCAAGUCGCGCGGAACAUUGCUGGUAGCAAUACUAGCAGUGUUUAGCGGCAAACGGGUGCGUAACACGUAGCUAUCUACCUCGAAGUGGGGGAUAAUUCCGCGAAAGCGGGACUAAUACCGCAUGUGGUUGUAAGACUAAAGCGGGGGUCGCAAGACCUCGCGCUUCGAGAUGAGGCUGCGGCCUAUCAGCUUGUUGGCGGGGUAACGCCCACCAAGGCGAUGACGGGUAGCUGGUCUGAGAGGACGACCAGCCACAGUGGAACUGCGAUACGGUCCACACACCUACGGGUGGCAGCAGUCGAGGAUCUUGGACAAUGGGCNCAAGCCUGAUCCAGCGACGCCGCGUGGGGGAUGAAGGUCUUCGGAUUGUAAACCCCUGUCACUUGGGAAAAAGGUUACGACCUAAUACGUCGUGACUUGAUGGUA